GGCGAACGGGUGAGUAACACGUGGGCAACCUGCCCCUCGCAGGGGGACAACCGGAGGAAACUCCGGCUAAUACCCCGUACGCUUGCUGGAUCGCAUGGUCCGGCAAGGAAAGGUAGCUUCGGCCAUCCGGCGAGGGAUGGGCCCGCGUUGCAUUAGCUAGUUGGUGGGGUAACGGCCUACCAAGGCGACGAUGCGUAGCUGGUCUGAGAGGAUGAUCAGCCACACUGGGACUGAGACACGGCCCAGACUCCUACGGGAGGCAGCAGCCAGGAAUCUUGGGCAAUGGGCGAAAGCCUGACCCAGCAACACCGUGUGGGCGAUGAAGGCCUUAGGGUCGUAAAGCCCUGUUGAUAGGGACGAAGGGCGAAGGGUUAAUAGCCCCUAGCUUGACGGUACCUUUCGAGGAAGCCCCGGCUAACUACGUGCCAGCAGCCGCGGUAAUACGUAGGGGGCGAGCGUUGUCCGGAAUUAUUGGGCGUAAAGAGCGUGUAGGCGGUUCGGUAAGUCUGCUGUGAAAUCCUGGGGCUCAACCCUGGGCGUGCAGCGGAUACUGCCGGGCUAGAGGGUGGUAGAGGCGAGUGGAAUUCCGAGUGUAGCGGUGAAAUGCGCAGAUAUUCGGAGGAACACCAGUAGCGAAGGCGGCUCGCUGGGCCACACCUGACGCUGAGACGCGAAAGCAUGGGGAGCGAACAGGAUUAGAUACCCUGGUAGUCCACGCCGUAAACGAUGGAUACUGGGUGUGGGGGGAGUCGAAUCCCUCUGUGCCGAAGUUAACGCGUUAAGUAUCCCGCCUGGGGAGUACGGCCGCAAGGCUAAAACUCAAAGGAAUUGACGG
rnacentral:rRNA from 1 species